GAACGCUUUUGCGGUUUCGGCCGCAAGGGAGUGGCGGACGGGUGAGUAGCGCGUGGGAACCUGCCCCUUUGUGGGGGAUAACCGAGGGAAACUUCGGCUAAUACCGCAUGCGCCCGCGGGGGAGACCUUGCGGGGAAAGAUUUAUCGCAGAGGGAGGGGCCCGCGUCGGAUUAGGUAGUUGGUGGGGUAACGGCCUACCAAGCCUGUGAUCCGUAGCUGGUCUGAGAGGAUGAUCAGCCACACUGGGACUGAGACACGGCCCAGACUCCUACGGGAGGCAGCAGUGGGGAAUAUUGGACAAUGGGCGCAAGCCUGAUCCAGCAAUGCCGCGUGAGUGAUGAAGGCCUUAGGGUUGUAAAGCUCUUUCGGCGGGGACGAUGAUGACGGUACCCGCAGAAGAAGCCCCGGCUAACUUCGUG
rnacentral:rRNA from 1 species